rnacentral:rRNA from 1 species
UACGUAGGGUGCAAGCGUUUAAUCGGAAUUACUGGGCGUAAAGCGUGCGCAGGCGGCUUUGCAAGACAGAUGUGAAAUCCCCGGGCUUAACCUGGGAACUGCAUUUGUGACUGCAUGGCUGGAGUGCGGCAGAGGGGGAUGGAAUUCCGCGUGUAGCAGUGAAAUGCGUAGGUAUGCGGAGGAACACCGAUGGCGAAGGCAAUCCCCUGGGCCUGCACUGACGCUCAUGCACGAAAGCGUGGGGAGCAAACAGG